rnacentral:rRNA from 1 species
AGAGUUUGAUCCUGGCUCAGGAUGAACGCUAGCGGCAGGCUUAACACAUGCAAGUCGAGGGGUAUAGGUUUUCGGACCUAGAGACCGGCGCACGGGUGCGUAACGCGUAUGCAAUCUACCUUUUACAGAGGGAUAGCCCAGAGAAAUUUGGAUUAAUACCUCAUAGUAUUAUUGAAUGGCAUCAUUUAAUAAUUAAAGUCACAACGGUAAAAGAUGAGCAUGCGUCCCAUUAGCUAGUUGGUAAGGUAACGGCUUACCAAGGCAACGAUGGGUAGGGGUCCUGAGAGGGAGAUCCCCCACACUGGUACUGAGACACGGACCAGACUCCUACGGGAGGCAGCAGUGAGGAAUAUUGGUCAAUGGGCGCAAGCCUGAACCAGCCAUGCCGCGUGCAGGAUGAAGCAUCUAUGGUGUGUAAACUGCUUUUGUACGAGAAGAAACACUCCUUCGUGAAGGAGCUUGACGGUAUCGUAAGAAUAAGGACCGGCUAACUCCGUGCCAGCAGCCGCGGUAAUACGGAGGGUCCAAGCGUUAUCCGGAAUCAUUGGGUUUAAAGGGUCCGUAGGCGGUUUUGUAAGUCAGUGGUGAAAGCCCAUCGCUCAACGGUGGAACGGCCAUUGAUACUGCAAGACUUGAAUUAUUAGGAAGUAACUAGAAUAUGUAGUGUAGCGGUGAAAUGCUUAGAUAUUACAUGGAAUACCAAUUGCGAAGGCAGGUUACUACUAAUUGAUUGACGCUGAUGGACGAAAGCGUGGGGAGCGAACAGGAUUAGAUACCCUAGUAGUCC